rnacentral:rRNA from 1 species
GACGAACGCUUGCGGCGUGCUUAACACAUGCAAGUCGAACGGAAAGGCCCUGCUUUUGUGGGGUGCUCGAGUGGCGAACGGGUGAGUAACACGUGAGUAACCUGCCCUUGACUUUGGGAUAACUUCAGGAAACUGGGCUAAUACCGGAUAGGAGCUCCUGCUGCAUGGUGGGGGUUGGAAAGUUUCGGCGGUUGGGGAUGGACUCGCGGCUUAUCAGCUUGUUGGUGGGGUAGUGGCUUACCAAGGCUUUGACGGGUAGCCGGCCUGAGAGGGUGACCGGCCACAUUGGGACUGAGAUACGGCCCAGACUCCUACGGGAGGCAGCAGUGGGGAAUAUUGCACAAUGGGCGGAAGCCUGAUGCAGCAACGCCGCGUGCGGGAUGACGGCCUUCGGGUUGUAAACCGCUUUCGCCUGUGACGAAGCGUGAGUGACGGUAAUGGGUAAAGAAGCACCGGCUAACUACGUGCCAGCAGCCGCGGUGAUACGUAGGGUGCGAGCGUUGUCCGGAUUUAUUGGGCGUAAAGGGCUCGUAGGUGGUUGAUCGCGUCGGAAGUGUAAUCUUGGGGCUUAACCCUGAGCGUGCUUUCGAUACGGGUUGACUUGAGGAAGGUAGGGGAGAAUGGAAUUCCUGGUGGAGCGGUGGAAUGCGCAGAUAUCAGGAGGAACACCAGUGGCGAAGGCGGUUCUCUGGGCCUUUCCUGACGCUGAGGAGCGAAAGCGUGGGGAGCGAACAGGCUUAGAUACCCUGGUAGUCCACGCUGUAAACGGUGGGUACUAGGUGUGGGGUCCAUUCCACGGGUUCCGUGCCGUAGCUAACGCUUUAAGUACCCCGCCUGGGGAGUACGGCCGCAAGGCUAAAACUCAAAGGAAUUGACGGGGCCCCGCACAAGCGGCGGAGCAUGCGGAUUAAUUCGAUGCAACGCGUAGAACCUUACCUGGGUUUGACAUGGAUCGGGAGUGCUCAGAGAUGGGUGUGCCUCUUUUGGGGUCGGUUCACAGGUGGUGCAUGCCUGUCGUCAGCUCGUGUCGUGAGAUGUUGGGUUAAGUCCCGCAACGAGCGCAACCCUUGUUCACUGUUGCCAGCACGUUAUGGUGGGGACUCAGUGGAGACCGCCGGGGUCAACUCGGAGGAAGGUGGGGAUGACGUCAAGUCCUCAUGCCCCUUAUGUCCAGGGCUUCACGCAUGCUACAAUGGCUGGUACAGAGAGUGGCGAGCCUGUGAGGGUGAGCGAAUCUCGGAAAGCCGGUCUCAGUUCGGAUUGGGGUCUGCAACUCGACCUCAUGAAGUCGGAGUCGCUAGUAAUCGCAGAUCAGCAACGCUGCGGUGAAUACGUUCCCGGG